rnacentral:misc_RNA from 1 species
CUGAAGAAAUGGCAAGGCUUUUUGAGCUGGCUUCUAGGAGCAUGUGCUCAGCUCUGUCGCUUUUUCUACUUUCCACUGUGCACCUUAUGUAGGCUUAUGAUGUCCUCCUCUGGUACUACCUGGUACUGGGUUAUUGUUAUUGAAGGUUCGCCUUCUCUGACUGCCCCUUCGUAAGCCUAUGUUUAUAUACAUACACUAGUAAAGUCUCUGGAUGUCUUAUUGUUGGUCUUGAUCGACCGAUAAAACACUAUA